rnacentral:rRNA from 1 species
CCUACGGGAGGCAGCAGUGGGGAAUAUUGGACAAUGGGGGCAACCCUGAUCCAGCCAUGCCGCGUGUGUGAAGAAGGCCCUCGGGUUGUAAAGCACUUUCAGUGAGGAAGAACACCUGGUGGUUAAUACCCAUCAGGAAAGACAUCACUCACAGAAGAAGCACCGGCUAACUCCGUGCCAGCAGCCGCGGUAAUACGGAGGGUGCGAGCGUUAAUCGGAAUUACUGGGCGUAAAGCGCGCGUAGGUGGCUUGAUAAGCCGGUUGUGAAAGCCCCGGGCUCAACCUGGGAACGGCAUCCGGAACUGGCAAGCUAGAGUGCAGGAGAGGAAGGUAGAAUUCCCGGUGUAGCGGUGAAAUGCGUAGAGAUCGGGAGGAAUACCAGUGGCGAAGGCGGCCUUCUGGACUGACACUGACACUGAGGUGCGAAAGCGUGGGUAGCAAACAGGAUUAGAUACCCGAGUAGUC